CCCAGGAGGAGCCCCUGAGAAGACAGGAAGGACUGUGCUGCAGAGAAUGGAGAAGAGCCCCAGCUGAGAGGCAAGAACAACACUGCAGUGACGAUUACAACAACUGGUGACCCCGUGUGAGGAAGAACGCGCAGCCAAACAUCGAGAGAAGCUUCAUCUCCUGAUGUUUAAUGGAUUACAGGAAGCAGGGGCUUGUUUCUCCCUCCUAUGGCAUCCUCUUAAGACCACGGGCAGGUGACCUUGAAGAAAAAAGCCUGGAUCAAUACAGAAGUCCUCUACUGCAUCUUCAGAAACAUUAUAAAAAGUCCUGUACUUUAUAAAAGUGGAAGAGAUGACAAAAUUUGUGCUCAUUGUCAU